GCUAUAUCCCAUUGAAACACUGCUUCCCGUACGAUCUCCGAAGUUAAGCAACGUUGAGUUUGGUCAGUACAUAGAUGGGUGACUACUUGGGCAUACUCGAUGC